rnacentral:rRNA from 1 species
UGCAGUCGAACGGUGACGAUGAGAGCUUGCUCUUGUUUGAUCAGUGGCGAACGGGUGAGUAACACGUGAGUAACCUGCCCCUGACUCUGGGAUAACCCCGGGAAACCGGAGCUAAUACCGGAUAUGACACCAACCGGCAUGCNUAUGGUGUGGAAAGUUUUUCGGUCUGGGAUGGACUCGCGGCCUAUCAGCUUGUUGGUGAGGUAGUGGCUCACCAAGGCGACGACGGGUAGCCGGCCUGAGAGGGCGACCGGCCACACUGGGACUGAGACACGGCCCAGACUCCUACGGGAGGCAGCAGUGGGGAAUAUUGCACAAUGGGCGAAAGCCUGAUGCAGCGACGCCGCGUGAGGGAUGACGGCCUUCGGGUUGUAAACCUCUUUCAGCAGGGAAGAAGCGCAAGUGACGGUACCUGCAGAAGAAGCACCGGCUAACUACGUGCCAGCAGCCGCGGUAAUACGUAGGGUGCGAGCGUUGUCCGGAAUUAUUGGGCGUAAAGAGCUUGUAGGUGGUUUGUCGCGUCUGCUGUGAAAAUCCGAGGCUCAACCUCGGACUUGCAGUGGGUACGGGCAGACUAGAGUGUGGUAGGGGAGACUGGAAUUCCUGGUGUAGCGGUGGAAUGCGCAGAUAUCAGGAGGAACACCGAUGGCGAAGGCAGGUCUCUGGGCCAUUACUGACACUGAGAAGCGAAAGCAUGGGGAGC